rnacentral:rRNA from 1 species
GAUGAACGCUAGCGGCAGGCUUAACACAUGCAAGUCGAGGGGCAGCGGGGGGCGCGCUUGCGCGUCCCGCCGGCGACCGGCGCACGGGUGAGUAACACGUAUGCAACCUGCCCCCGCCAGGGGUACAACCCUCCGAAAGGGGGGCUGAUACCGCGUACAUCCCCCGGGGGCAUCCCCGGGGGAGGAAAGCCCUACGGGGCGGGCGGGGAUGGGCAUGCGGCGCAUUAGGAAGACGGCGGUGUGACGGACCACCGUUCCGACGAUGCGUAGGGGUUCUGAGAGGAAGGCCCCCCACACUGGUACUGAGACACGGACCAG